AGGUGCGGUCAUACCAGCACUAAUGCACCAAAUCCCAUUAGAACUCUGCAUAUAAGCAUGCCUGGGCGAGAGUAGUACUAGGAUGGGUGACCUCUAGAGCAGUCCUCGUGUUGCACCUU
rfam:Lupinus angustifolius cultivar Tanjil contig_1835, whole genome shotgun sequence.